rnacentral:rRNA from 1 species
CCGGCGACCGGCGGACGGGUGCGUAACGCGUAUGUAACCUACCUCUGACAGGGGGAUAACAUCGAGAAAUUGGUACUAAUACCCCAUAACAUCACCGGAGGCAUCUUCGGUGGUUGAAAACUCAGGUGGUCAGAGAUGGACAUGCGUUGUAUUAGCUAGUUGGUGAGGUAACGGCUCACCAAGGCGACGAUACAUAGGGGGUACUGAGAGGUCAACCCCCCACAUUGGUACUGAGACACGGACCAAACUCCUACGGAAGGCAGCAG